rnacentral:tRNA from 1 species
GCCGGAGUGGCGGAACUGGCAGACGCGCAGGAUUCAAAAUCCUGUGGGGUUCACACCUCGUGUGGGUUCGACUCCCACCUCCGGCA